rnacentral:rRNA from 1 species
UCCUACGGGAGGCAGCAGUGGGGAAUUUUGGACAAUGGGCGCAAGCCUGAUCCAGCCAUGCCGCGUGCAGGAUGAAGGCCUUCGGGUUGUAAACUGCUUUUGUACGGAACGAAACGGCCUUUUCUAAUAAAGAGGGCUAAUGACGGUACCGUAAGAAUAAGCACCGGCUAACUACGUGCCAGCACCCGCGGUAAUA